UAUAUGUGCGAACAUCCCACAGGUCUGUGAACUUCACCUCCCUUUCCUUCUUCGCAGUGUACUAAUGGUCACUUGAUGUGCGCUGGCUGUUUUAUCCACCUACUAGCAGAUGCCCGGCUGAAGGAGGAACAGGCCACAUGUCCCAACUGUCGUUGUGAGAUCAGUAAGAGCCUCUGCUGCCGGAACCUGGCUGUGGAGAAAGCUGUGAGCGAGCUGCCUUCAGAGUGUGGCUUCUGUCUGCGUCAGUUUCCUCGUUCCCUCCUAGAGAGGCACCAGAAAGAGGAAUGCCAGGACAGGGUGACACAGUGCAAGUACAAGCGUAUUGGCUGCCCAUGGCACGGCCCUUUCCAUGAGCUGACAGUGCAUGAAGCUGCAUGUGCUCACCCAACCAAGACAGGCAAUGAGCUGAUGGAGAUCCUCGAUGAGAUGGACCAGAGCCACCGCAAGGAGAUGCAGCUCUACAACAGCAUCUUCAGCCUGCUCAGCUUCGAGAAGAUCGGCUACACAGGUGAGGCACCCACACUCCUCUGCAUGCCGCACGGAUGCUGUCUGGGAAUAAAGGGCUGGCAGCCGAGAGCGGGGAGGCAGUAGGCUCUGGGCAGUGGGCACAGGCUGCGCCGGUGGGCAGGAAGAUACCUUGGGGAGAAGAUAGGUUGGAGAUUUUGGAGAAGGAGGGAUAUACCUGCAUGGCUCCUACAGAGGUCCUUCCCACCUGUCCCGUCCCCUCCCCCUCUGCCCACCACCCUAGCAAGAUGACACCCCCCCCCCCACUGUAUGGGGCUCCACAUAUUUGGGAUGGUUGGGUCUAAUUAGAAAAUUGGGUGUGUUUUGGGCAGUCUGGGUGUUUGGGGCCUUGCCUUUGGAGCGCGGAGCAAGAAGAGCAUUCCAUCAAGUCAGGUCCUGUCUACAGAUGUUCACUGAAGGUCACAGAGCCUCCCGAGGCUGGCAAGAAGCUGUUUGGAGACAGGGUUCCAGAACAAGCUGAGGGUCUGAGCUCAAACUAUAGAGCUGGGAAUGGAUGCCCACAAAUGAGUAAGCUGGACCAGGCCUAUGCUCACUGGAUCUCAUGGCUCCCGGGCAUCUGUCACCAACUUUGAACAUGUCGGGGAGCAAGAGCCAGGCCACAACUUGGGCCAGAGAACAAGAAGCACCUGCUGAUACUGGGGCCACUCAGGGAA
rnacentral:lncRNA from 1 species